GGGCUCACUUCAGCAGCACAUAUACUAAAAUUAAAAGGUACAGAGAAGAUUAGCAUGGCCCUUGUGCAAGGAUGACACACAAAUUCAUGAAGCAUUAAAAAAAAAA
ensembl:snRNA U6 U6 spliceosomal RNA